UGCCGGCUCGGCUGGCCACCCUCCGUUCCCCGUCAAGUUUCCGGCCACCAACCGCUGCCGCGUCAGUUCAUAUAGACCAUGCAUCGAUCGGCAGCAUAUCGCCUGCAUCGUCCUAUGAAGUAUACGUACACACUCAUCAGAAUGAUUGACGCUAGUUCAUUUUGAUGUCCAUCGAUCGAUCAAUGGCGCCGAGGAGAAUGGACAUCGGCGGUCGGGUCGGCGUCGGCGGCGUCGUCCGCUUCGUCUUCUGCGUAGCCGCGGUGGUGAUGGCGGCGGUGCUCACCGGCAGCAGCCUUGGCGCGGCGGCGGCGCCCAGGAGCAUCGCCUACAAUACCAUCGCUCGGGGCCCGGCGUGCGUUGGGCCGUGCGUUCCAGGGAAGUCCAACUUGCAGGGCGGCCAUUGUUUGGAUGUCUACCAUUGCCAGCAUUAGUUCGUUGUGCGCCUCUCAUUAUGUACUUCCGUACAUUAAUUAAUUGCUUUGAUAGAGUUUAUCCCAAGGCUAAUGAUGUUUGUCAGCGCUAGCUUUUGCACAUCUAUCUUUCAUCGUAUUGUACUGUACUGAAUCAGUGAAUCAUCUGAAGCUAAAUUUAUAUAUGGUUGCGUUAGUGUGUCGUCACAGGACUAUGAUUCUUAGUCUUCAAGUUUAGAUAUAUAGCUGCAUGCACAUUUUAGAUCAUUUAGAUUAAUUAUACUGGGCUCUUCCGUGUGACUAAAAAUGUCCACGUGGCUCCGUUUAUGUAAUAUGUUGUUGUAAUUGUAUAUGAUAUAAACGUAAUGACAUUAUAUAAUGGCA
rnacentral:lncRNA from 1 species